GCGGGCUUAGCUCAGUUGGCUAGAGCGCCACCUUGCCAAGGUGGAGGUCGCGGGUUCGAGUCCCGUAGCCCGCU
rnacentral:tRNA from 2 species